rnacentral:rRNA from 1 species
UGCCCAGACUCCUACGGGAGGCAGCAGUGAGGAAUAUUGGUCAAUGGCCGCAGGGCUGAACCAGCCAAGUCGCGUGAGGGAAGACGGCCCUACGGGUUGUAAACCUCUUUUGUCGGGGAGCAAAGCGAGUCACGUGUGACUCAUUGAGAGUACCCGAAGAAAAAGCAUCGGCUAACUCCGUGCCAGCAGCCGCGGUAAUACGGAGGAUGCGAGCGUUAUCCGGAUUUAUUGGGUUUAAAGGGUGCGCAGGCGGAGGUGCAAGUCAGCGGUCAAAUUGCGGGGCUCAACCCCGUACUGCCGUUGAAACUGAUGUUCUUGAGUGGGCGAGAAGUAUGCGGAAUGCGUGGUGUAGCGGUGAAAUGCAUAGAUAUCACGCAGAACUCCGAUUGCGAAGGCAGCAUACCGGCGCCCAACUGACGCUGAAGCACGAAAGCGUGGGUAUCGAACAGGAUUAGAUACCCUGGUAA